rnacentral:rRNA from 1 species
AGAUUAAGUUAUUAAGGGCGCACGGUGGAUGCCUUGGCACUAGAAGCCGACGAAGGACGUUACUAACGACGAUAUGCUUUGGGUAGCUGUAAGUAAGCGUUGAUCCAGAGAUUUCCGAAUGGGGGAACCCAGCACGAGUUAUGUCGUGUUAUCGACAAGUGAAUUCAUAGCUUGUCAGAAGGCAGACCCGGAGAACUGAAACAUCUUAGUACCCGGAGGAAGAGAAAGAAAAAUCGAUUCCCUGAGUAGCGGCGAGCGAAACGGGAAGAGCCCAAACCAAUAAGCUUGCUUAUUGGGGUUGUAGGACACUCUAUACGGAGUUACAAAGGAAUAUAUUAGACGAAUCAUCUGGAAAGUUGAAUCAAAGAAGGUAAUAAUCCUGUAGUUGAAAAUAUAUUCUCUCUUGAGUGGAUCCUGAGUACGACGGAGCACGUGAAAUUCCGUCGGAAUCUGGGAGGACCAUCUCCUAAGGCUAAAUACUCUCUAGUGACCGAUAGUGAACCAGUACCGUGAGGGAAAGGUGAAAAGUACCCCGGAAGGGGAGUGAAAGAGAACUUGAAACCGUGUGCUUACAAGUAGUCAGAGCCCGUUAAUGGGUGAUGGCGUGCCUUUUGUAGAAUGAACCGGCGAGUUACGAUCUGAUGCAAGGUUAAGCAGGAGAUGUGGAGCCGUAGCGAAAGCGAGUCUGAAUAGGGCGUUGAGUAUUUGGUCGUAGACCCGAAACCAGGUGAUCUACCCAUGGUCAGGUUGAAGUUCAGGUAACACUGAAUGGAGGACCGAACCGACUUACGUUGAAAAGUGAGCGGAUGAACUGUGGGUAGCGGAGAAAUUCCAAUCGAACUUGGAGAUAGCUGGUUCUCUCCGAAAUAGCUUUAGGGCUAGCCUCAAGUGAUGAUUAUUGGAGGUAGAGCACUGUUUGGACGAGGGGCCCCUCUCGGGUUACCGAAUUCAGACAAACUCCGAAUGCCAAUUAAUUUAACUUGGGAGUCAGAACAUGGGUGAUAAGGUCCGUGUUCGAAAGGGAAACAGCCCAGACCACCAGCUAAGGUCCCAAAAUAUAUGUUAAGUGGAAAAGGAUGUGGCGUUGCCCAGACAACUAGGAUGUUGGCUUAGAAGCAGCCAUCAUUUAAAGAGUGCGUAAUAGCUCACUAGUCGAGUGACACUGCGCCGAAAAUGUACCGGGGCUAAACAUAUUACCGAAGCUGUGGAUUGUCCGUAGGACAAUGGUAGGAGAGCGUUCUAAGGGCGUUGAAGCAUGAUCGCAAGGACAUGUGGAGCGCUUAGAAGUGAGAAUGUCGGUGUGAGUAGCGAAAGACGGGUGAGAAUCCCGUCCACCGAUUGACUAAGGUUUCCAGAGGAAGGCUCGUCCGCUCUGGGUUAGUCGGGUCCUAAGCUGAGGCCGACAGGCGUAGGCGAUGGAUAACAGGUUGAUAUUCCUGUACCACCUAGCAUCGUUUUAAUCGAUGGGGGGACGCAGUAGGAUAGGCGAAGCGUACGAUUGGAUUGUACGUCCAAGCAGUGAGAUUGAGUGUUAGGCAAAUCCGGCACUCUUAAGAUUGAGCUGUGAUGGGGAGAGGAAAUUGUUUCCUCGAGUCGUUGAUUUCACACUGCCGAGAAAAGCCUCUAGAUAGAUAAUAGGUGCCCGUACCGCAAACCGACACAGGUAGUCAAGAUGAGAAUUCUAAGGUGAGCGAGCGAACUCUCGUUAAGGAACUCGGCAAAAUGACCCCGUAACUUCGGGAGAAGGGGUGCUCUUUAGGGUGCAAGCCCAGAAGAGCCGCAGUGAAUAGGCCCAAGCGACUGUUUAUCAAAACACAGGUCUCUGCUAAACCGUAAGGUGAUGUAUAGGGGCUGACGCCUGCCCGGUGCUGGAAGGUUAAGAGGAGUAGUUAGCUUCUGCGAAGCUACGAAUCGAAGCCCCAGUAAACGGCGGCCGUAACUAUAACGGUCCUAAGGUAGCGAAAUUCCUUGUCGGGUAAGUUCCGACCCGCACGAAAGGCGUAACGAUUUGGGCACUGUCUCAACGAGAGACUCGGUGAAAUCAUAGUACCUGUGAAGAUGCAGGUUACCCGCGACAGGACGGAAAGACCCCGUGGAGCUUUACUGUAGCCUGAUAUUGAAAUUCGGCACAGCUUGUACAGGAUAGGUAGGAGCCUUUGAAACGUGAGCGCUAGCUUACGUGGAGGCGCUGGUGGGAUACUACCCUAGCUGUGUUGGCUUUCUAACCCGCACCACUUAUCGUGGUGGGAGACAGUGUCAGGCGGGCAGUUUGACUGGGGCGGUCGCCUCCUAAAAGGUAACGGAGGCGCUCAAAGGUUCCCUCAGAAUGGUUGGAAAUCAUUCAUAGAGUGUAAAGGCAUAAGGGAGCUUGACUGCGAGACCUACAAGUCGAGCAGGGUCGAAAGACGGACUUAGUGAUCCGGUGGUUCCGCAUGGAAGGGCCAUCGCUCAACGGAUAAAAGCUACCCCGGGGAUAACAGGCUUAUCUCCCCCAAGAGUUCACAUCGACGGGAGGUUUGGCACCUCGAUGUCGGCUCAUCGCAUCCUGGGGCUGUAGUCGGUCCCAAGGGUUGGGCUGUUCGCCCAUUAAAGCGGUACGCGAGCUGGGUUCAGAACGUCGUGAGACAGUUCGGUCCCUAUCCGUCGUGGGCGUAGGAAAUUUGAGAGGAGCUGUCCUUAGUACGAGAGGACCGGGAUGGACAUACCUCUGGUGUACCAGUUGUCGUGCCAACGGCAUAGCUGGGUAGCUAUGUAUGGACGGGAUAAGUGCUGAAAGCAUCUAAGCAUGAAGCCCCCCUCAAGAUGAGAUUUCCCAACUUCGGUUAUAAGAUCCCUCAAAGAUGAUGAGGUUAAUAGGUUCGAGGUGGAAGCGUGGUGACACGUGGAGCUGACGAAUACUAAUCGAUUGAAGACUUAAUCAAUUU